rnacentral:rRNA from 1 species
UGGGGAAUAUUGCACAAUGGGCGAAAGCCUGAUGCAGCUACGCCGCGUGAGCGAUGAAGGCCUUCGGGUCGUAAAGCUCUGUCCUCAAGGAAGAUAAUGACGGUACUUGAGGAGGAAGCCCCGGCUAACUACGUGCCAGCAGCCGCGGUAAUACGUAGGGGGCUAGCGUUAUCCGGAAUUACUGGGCGUAAAGGGUGCGUAGGUGGUUUCUUAAGUCAGAGGUGAAAGGCUACGGCUCAACCGUAGUAAGCCUUUGAAACUGGGAAACUUGAGUGCAGGAGAGGAGAGUGGAAUUCCUAGUGUAGCGGUGAAAUGCGUAGAUAUUAGGAGGAACACCAGUUGCGAAGGCGGCUCUCUGGACUGUAACUGACGCUGAGGCACGAAAGCCAGGGGAGCAAACG